rnacentral:rRNA from 1 species
UACGAAGGGGGCUAGCGUUGCUCGGAAUCACUGGGCGUAAAGCGCACGUAGGCGGGUCGUUAAGUCAGGGGUGAAAUCCUGGAGCUCAACUCCAGAACUGCCUUUGAUACUGGCGAUCUCGAGUUCGGGAGAGGUGAGUGGAACUGCGAGUGUAGAGGUGAAAUUCGUAGAUAUUCGCAAGAACACCAGUGGCGAAGGCGGCUCACUGGCCCGAUACUGACGCUGAGGUGCGAAAGCGUGGGGAGCAACAGG